GGAGGGUUCGCAUAGUGGUCUAGUGCGCCGCCUUGGAAAGGCGGUAUGCUCGAAAGAGCAUCAAGAGUUCAAAUCUCUUACCCUCCG
rnacentral:tRNA from 1 species